CCGUGGGCCACCUCUCCCCACCGAGAGGCGUGCUAUCUGGAAGGAUAGGAUAU
rfam:Nitratireductor aquibiodomus RA22 Contig68, whole genome shotgun sequence.